rnacentral:rRNA from 1 species
CAGCCGCCGCGGGAAUACGUAGGGUGCAAGCGUUAAUCGGAAUUACUGGGCGUAAAGCGUGCGCAGGCGGUUUGUUAAGACAGAUGUGAAAUCCCCGGGCUCAACCUGGGAACUGCAUUUGUGACUGGCAAGCUAGAGUGUGGCAGAGGGGGGUGGAAUUCCGCGUGUAGCAGUGAAAUGCGUAGAUAUGCGGAGGAUCACCGAUGGCGAAGGCAGCCCCCUGGGCCAACACUGACGCUCAUGCACGAAAGCGUGGGGAGCAAACAGGAUUAGAUACCCCCGUAGUCCCUGUCUCUUAUAC